CCACGGAACUGUGGUCUCCUGUGUCUGUGUCCCUCCUUCGAUGACGAGCUCCUGCCCUGAGAUUACACCUUAGGCUUCCCUCUCCUUGGGCCCCCCAGGGAUGGCCCACACUGGCUCUCAGUACCGCCAGAGGGAGGAGGGUUGGGUCACCUUGGGAGAGGUCCCUAUAGGGCCUUCUAUGCUCUCCUCCCUCCCUUCCCCUGCCCGUGUGUCGCUGUGGUACAGACAUUCACUAGAUGAACAUACGGAUACAUCAAAAGGAUAGAAAAAAAUGUUCAGAUAAUUAUGUACAGAACAUGAUUAUUAAAAAUCAGUGAUAAAAGAUCUGUUCAAAAAAACCAAAGCGGCUAGUGGUGAAGCCUCAGCAAGGGGAGCAACAGUAAACAGCCGCAUUUCCUUAGGUGAGGCGAGAAGGCUUCAAGCACCAAGCACAAAGGGCUUGCAGCUUCCCGAGAUACCUGGCAGGUCCUGGAAGAGAAGACGACCCCCGUCAGCAGGAGGGCACGCUCCCAACGCCCGGUCCACGGGCCAGACGCGGCCGCACAGCCAACCAAGCCUGCGCUACGUGCUCCGAGUGUGGAGGGGCCCGCGGAGUGACCCAGGCCACUCAGGCCACGUGCACGCUCGAAACACACGCAGAGGCAACACCAGGUACCUGGAUCUGAUCGGUGAAAGAUUUGCAAGGUACUUCUCUGCAGAUGCACCAAUUACGUACGUCGAUGAAGAGCUUCUCCUUCGUCUCCAGUCGGAUGGCUUCCAAGUCUUCAGCUCCACAGAGCUCUGUACCUGAUGCACUUUCAGUGGCCACAGUCUGGGGAGCUGAUUCUAAGGAACAACAAAGAGUUAUAUUAAUCUUGGAGUUAGUUUCAUACACCGUGGACAGACGGGCAAACCUGAGGUUAAGGCGAUUCCAAGAGGAAGGACAAAACCCUCGGGUCUGAAAGCCUCCAGCCCCUGUGACAGGAGCUGCAAGAAUCCCAGGUUAGGACAAGAUUAUGUCUGAAAGGAAAGGGAGACAGCUGCCCCCUUUCUGGAGCCUGGAGAUGGAAGCACCAGCCAGGAAUCCGUGAAGAAUACGCAGGAACCUUGGAAAAGGCAUGAUUGAUGGGCCAGGAGAUGAAGAAAGAAAGGCCGUGGUGCCAAAGGCCAAGUUUCACAGCCCCUCCUGCUGCACGAGCGUCAGGGAGACCUGUGAAGUCACCGCAGGGUUGCCUGUGGAACGUGGAGUCCAGACGGGGCUUGUCUUCCUCCCCCAGGCCCCUCCUGUCCUGCCCUCUGCUUCCUCUCCGGUCUCCAUGAUUAGAGAUGAAUGGCCCCGCUCUGCUCAUGACACGCUGGUCCGCUGUCUGCCCUGAGGACUGGCCGUGCCCAGUUUGACUCGAGAGCCACAUUGGGGCACCCGUUUAGAAUGAAACAAGGGGGACUUCCCUGGUGGCACAGCGGUUAAGAAUCCACCUGCCAGUGCAGGGGACACGGGUUCAAUCCUUGGUCCGGGAAGAUCCCACAUGUCGCAGAGCAGCUAAGCCCGUGCGCCACAACUACUGACCCUGCUCUCUAGAGCCCGCGAGCCGCAGCUACUGAACCCGCGUGCCACAAGUACUGAAGCCCGUGCGCCUAGAGCCCGUGCUCUGCAACAAGAGAAGCCACCGCAAUGAGAAGCCCGCGCACCGCGAUGAAGAGUAGCCCUUGCUCGCCACAACUGGAGAAAGCCCGCACGCAGCAACAAAGACCCAAAGCAGCCAAAAAUAAAUAAAUAAAAUAAAAUAGGCAAAGUAGAUAAACAGACGUUAAAAAAAAAGAAUGAUAUGAGGAAGUGGGCAGGGGCUUCCGGGGCUGCUGUGGACGAUCCCAGGCCCACCUCCCAGGCCCGGUUUGUCGUGGUCUCUUCCACUUGGCUGUGCCCGUGGCUUCGCAGCUUCUAAUUACGACAGCAGUCUGCUUCCCCUCCAACCAGCCCUUCCCCCGGACCCCUGUGUCCUGCUCGUGGCACCGUGGCGUCCAGCUUCCCAGCCAGCAGAAGCUUUAGUCCAGGCAGCUGCCAAGUCCCUUUGUUUCCUAAAACCUACCUGCUUAGGCUUUGCGUGCCGGGAAAAGGCGAGGCAGGGAAGAGACUACAGUUGUUGGGCGUGUUCCUUACGUUGCCUCAUGCGAUCCGUGGCAGAGACUGUUCCCACUUCGCAGGGGCUAGAACGGGCUCCGGGAGGUUUUGUGGCUUGCUUGAUGUGGCUCAGCUGGUUACGGGGCUGGACUUGGGUCUGACCUCAGGGUGUCUGUCUAGAAAAUUUGCUGCCUCGCCUGUUCACAGAGUGUUUUAGUGAAACGCGUGUGUCAUCCUCUGUACCGUUUUGGUGACCACUGGAAGGAAGCUAAGGCUCCUCUAGACAGAGUGUCGUCAGAUAGAGGUGGGACACGUGUGUCUCCGUGACAGUAUGCGCUCACAUCACGUUUUCCCUGUAUCACUGAACAUCUUCUUCCCCUACUGGUUACCCAAGCCGGCAGCCUGGGCAUCAUUCCUGAAGAUUCUUCUUUGCCCAAUCUUUCAAACCAAUCACCAAGUCCUGACUAUCCUACCACUUACGGAAGAACAACGCUUUGUCAUGUAUUUAGAUCAGAAUUGGCCGAAGGCAUGUUUUAAUUUCAAGCAAUUUGCAGGGAGAAAACUAAACUAAGCAGUCAGGUGCUUUCUGUCUAAUAUAAUACAUUGAGUGGUAGAUUAAUAAGUAUCAAUAUGAUUACUGAGAUCACUUACAACUUAAGCAAGUAAAUUCACUUUUCCAUAACAAACACACUUGUGACUUAAAAAAUUUCUUAAAAGAAUGCAUUUUCCUCUGAGGUCAUCACAAGACUUUAAUGGUUAUUCUGAGAAAAUAAAUAAGAGCUUUGUAAAUAGUUGUGGAUCUUGGCAAAACCCUUUCUCUUUCUUACUGAAAAUCUUAACCAUAGAGAGGAACUGGCAUCAUGAUUCAAGAUGCAGAACAUGUACAUUUUAAUCCUAUUUCAGACCUUUGCCCCACAUGGGUUAUUUUUUAAUUAUACUCGUGUUGUCACUAGAAUGUAAAUAUGGAAUAUUCUGUAAACUUUUCUUCCUUAUUUUGUGGAGAAGGGCAAUAAAUAACACAGCACUUAAUUUCUUAAAAAAAAAAAAAAAAAAAUCGGGAUGGGGAGCUAUUCAAGCCUCCGAGCCCUGACUCGGUCCCCAGGCAGCCUUCCCUGGUUCCUGACUCCAUGAUGAGAGAGGAUGAGCCCAGGAAACGCAGCAGAGCUGCUCGUACCGUUUAUCUCCUAAUUUCCUGCAUCCUUCACUAGGCCUCGUGACUUGUAAGGAAAGACUGUGUGCCACGCAAGAAAGGUAAAUGGAAAAGUGAUUUUUUUUAAACAGAUGGCUUUUAUAUUUAAAUUUGCUUUUCUUGGGGUUGAGUAACUUGCGUGGAAGAGGGACCUCCUUGUUCUGACAGCCCAGCUCCCCUCUUGGGACUCAGGACACCCAGAGGGUUUAGCUCAGUAGGGAGGGGAC